rnacentral:rRNA from 1 species
CCUACGGGAGGCAGCAGUGGGGAAUCUUGCGCAAUGGGCGAAAGCCUGACGCAGCAACGCCGCGUGCGGGAAGAAGGCUUUCGGGCUGUAAACCGCUUUCAGCAGGAACGAAAAUGACGGUACCUGCAGAAGAAGGAGCGGCCAACUAUGUGCCAGCAGCCGCGGUGAUACAUAGGCUUCAAGCGUUGUCCGGAUUUAUUGGGCGUAAAGAGUUCGUAGGCGGUCGAGUAAGUCGGGUGUGAAAAUUCUGGGCUCAACCCAGAGACGCCACCCGAUACUGCUUGACUUGAGUUCGAUAGGGGAGUGGGGAAUUCCUAGUGUAGCGGUGAAAAUGCGCAGAUAUUAGGAGGAACACCGGUGGCGAAGGCGCCACUCUGGAUCGAUACUGACGCUGAGGAACGAAAGCAUGGGUAGCAAACAGGAUUAGAUACCCUGGUAGUCCAUGCCGUAAACGGUGGGCACUAGGUNUGGGUUUCUAUUAACGAAAUCCGCGCCGUCGCUAAACGCAUUAAGUNCCCCGCCGUCGGGAGGUACGGUCGCGAGAACGUAAACUAACAAAGAAAGUAAGUAGGCGUUGAGAGUUGCCGAACGGACGACGACGAGGGAGGAGG